CGCGGGAUGGAGCAGUGGUAGCUCGUCGGGCUCAUAACCCGAAGGUCACAGGUUCGAGUCCUGUUCCCGCUAC
rnacentral:tRNA from 1 species